rnacentral:rRNA from 1 species
UUGGAGGGCAAGUCUGGUGCCAGCAGCCGCGGUAAUUCCAGCUCCAAUAGCGUAUAUUAAAGUUGUUGCAGUUAAAAAGCUCGUAGUUGAAUUUCGGGGUCAAUGCGUCGGUCGUGCCUUCGGUACGUACUGAUGUUAUUGAUUCCUCCCUUCUGACGAACCGUGAUGUCAUUAAUUUGGUGUUACGGGGAAUCAGGACUGUUACCUUGAAAAAAUUAGAGUGUUUAAAGCAGGCUCGCGCUUGAAUACAUUAGCAUGGAAUAAUGAAAUAGGACGUUCGAUCCUAUUUUGUUGGUUUCUAGGAUUGACGUAAUGAUUAAUAGGGAUAGUUGGGGGCAUUAGUAUUCAAUUGUCAGAGGUGAAAUUCUUGGAUUUAUUGAAGACUAACUACUGCGAAAGCAUUUGCCAAGGAUGUUUUCAUUAAUCAAGAACGAAAGUUAGGGGAUCGAAGACGAUCAGAUACCGUCGUAGUCUUAACCAUAAACUAUGCCGACUAGGGAUCGGAUGAUGUUAAUUUUUUAAUGACUCAUUCGGCGCCUUACGGGAAAC